rnacentral:rRNA from 1 species
AAAACUGAGGUGGUAUACGAUGGUUCCGCGUCUGAUUAACUAGUUGGUGGGGUAAUGGCCUACCAAGGCGACGAUCAGUAGCCGGCCUGAGAGGGUGAACGGCCACAUUGGGACUGAGACACGGCCCAAACUCCUACGGGAGGCAGCAGUGGGGAAUAUUGCACAAUGGGGGAAACCCUGAUGCAGCGACGCCGCGUGAGUGAAGAAGUAUUUCGGUAUGUAAAGCUCUAUCAGCAGGGAAGAAAAACCGACCAUAGGGUCGCUAGACGGUACCUGAUUAAGAAGCCCCGGCUAACUACGUGCCAGCAGCCGCGGUAAUACGUAGGGGGCAAGCGUUAUCCGGAUUUACUGGGUGUAAAGGGAGCGUAGACGGCAGCGCAAGUCUGAAGUGAAAUGCCGGGGCUUAACCCCGGAACUGCUUUGGAAACUGAGCAGCUAGAGUGCAGGAGAGGUAAGUGGAAUUCCUAGUGUAGCGGUGAAAUGCGUAGAUAUUAGGAGGAACACCGGUGGCGAAGGCGGCUUACUGGACUGUAACUGACGUUGAGGCUCGAAAGCGUGGGGAGCAAACAGGAUUAGAUACCCUGGUAGUCCACGCGGCAAACGAUGAUUACUAGGUGUUGGGGGACCAAGGUCCUUCG